CGGGAGGCAGCAGUAGGGAAUCUUCCACAAUGGACGAAAGUCUGAUGGAGCAACGCCGCGUGAGUGAUGAAGGUUUUCGGAUCGUAAAACUCUGUUGUUAAAGAAGAACAAGUGUUAGAGUAACUGUUAACACUUUGACGGUAUUUAACCAGAAAGCCACGGCUAACUACGUGCCAGCAGCCGCGGUAAUACGUAGGUGGCAAGCGUUGUCCGGAUUUAUUGGGCGUAAAGCGAGCGCAGGCGGUUUUGUAAGUCUGCUGUGAAAGCCCUCAGCUCAACUGAGGAAGUGCAGUGGAAACUACAAAACUUGAGUACAGAAGAGGAAAGUGGAACUCCAUGUGUAGGCGGUGAAAUGCGUAGAUAUAUGGAAGAACACCAGUGGCGAAGGCGGCUUUCUGGUCUGUUACUGACGCUGAGGCUCGAAAGCAUGGGUAGCGAACAGGAUUAGAUACCCUGGUAGUCCAUGCCGUAAACGAUGAAUACUAGGUGUUGGAGGGUUUCCGCCCUUCAGUGCCGCAGCUAACGCAUUAAGUAUUCCGCCUGGGGAGUACGACCGCAAGGUUGAAACUCAAAGGAAUUGACGGGGGCCCGCACAAGUGGUGGAGCAUGUGGUUUAAUUCGAUGCUACGCGAAGAACCUUACCAGCUCUUGACAUCUUCUGCCAACCCAAGAGAUUGGGCGUUCCCUUCGGGGACAGAAUGACAGGUGGUGCAUGGUUGUCGUCAGCUCGUGUCGUGAGAUGUUGGGUUAAGUCCCGCAACGAGCGCAACCCUUAUUAUUAGUUGCCAGCAUUUAGUUGGGCACUCUAGUGAGACUGCCGGUGAUAAACCGGAGGAAGGUGGGGACGACGUCAAAUCAUCAUGCCCCUUAUGAGCUGGGCUACACACGUGCUACAAUGGAUGGUACAACGAGUCGCGAAACCGCGAGGUCAAGCUAAUCUCUUAAAGCCAUUCUCAGUUCGGAUUGCAGGCUGCAACUCGCCUGCAUGAAGUUGGAAUCACUAGUAAUCGUGGAUCAGCAUGCCACGGUGAAUACGUUCCCGGGCCUUGUACA
rnacentral:rRNA from 2 species